GAAAUAUAUGUUUUAUAUUUGUCAUAACCUAAUAGUCGCCGCCUAUGUGGUCGGGUGGCCAGACUCAAAGGUAUUCUAUUUCGCAUGCCUCACCCUAGUAAACGCCGGUCACCCAUACGUCGGUGAAUUUGUUCUCGGGCCUUGUAUACACCGCCCGUCACACUAUGGGAGCUUGCCAUGCCCGAAGUCGUUCCCUUAACCGCAAGGAGGGGGAUGCCGAAGGCAGGGCUAGUGACUGGAGUGAAGUCGUAAAAAGGUAUUCGUACCGGUAGGUGCGGCUGGAUCACCUCGUUU
rnacentral:ncRNA from 1 species